AUUUAAUUAUUGUAAUCAUAAAGAGAAAAUUUUCUCUUUAUAUAGAUAUGUAAUCUAUUACUUUAUUCUUUAUUGUUAAAGAAUAAUAAGUAUAUAAAGAAACUAUUAGAAUUUUUCUAUAUAUCAAAGGAAAUAUCCUUAAACAAAUUAAAAUUACCUAAACUAAGUGAAUUGAAGUAUCUUAAUAACUUAAGGAAUAUAAAUCAAACGAGAUUCUAUCAAAAAUGUGAAUUGCGAUAGAUUAAAAGUAAAGUAGAUUUUUUUGUCUUACUUUUAAAGCUUAUGUUGUUUAUAGCGCCAUGUGGCGUAUGCUUUGCAUAAUAUUCAGCAUUUAAAUAAAAAAUAAAAUGGAAUAUCAUUCUAUUUGAAUAUAGGGGAACCUUCCUCUAAAGCUAAAUAUGAUAUAUAAGAUAUAGUGUAUAGUACCGUGAGGGAACAAAAAAAGUAGUUUUAUAAGCAGCUCAAUGAAUUAAAUAUUAAAGAGCGUACCUUUUGCAUAAUGGGUCAGCAAGUUAAUUUUAGAUGCAAGCAUAAUGAAAUCAUUGCCUAAAUAAAUUGAUAAGUAGUGUCUAGAAUUAGACCCGAAGCCUAGUGAUCUUACUAUAAUCAGGAAAAAUUAAAAAGUCCGAACGGAUUAUCGUAGUAAAGAUAUCCGAUGAAUUAUGGUAAGUUAGUGAAAGACAAAACUGACUAGGAUAGCUGGUUUUCUGCGAAACCUAUUUAAGUAGGUCGUUUAAUAAAUAUCUUAGUAGGUACAGUAUUUAUUCACGGUAAUUUAAAUAAAUAUUUUUAUUUAUUUUACAUAUAUUAGGGGAUCGUGAAGAUUUUACUAGAGUGUAUUAGAUCUCGGAAGGACAAAGAUAAAUAUUAAACAAUCAGACAUAGUACGAUAAGGUUGUAUGUCAAAAGGGAAACAGCCCAGAACAAGUGUUUAAGGUUCCAAAAUUAUUGUUAAGUGAAAAAGAGGAAGUUUUUUUUAUUUAUUUUAUUCGUUAUACGUUUAUAAUAAAUAAAAGGCAAAUACAAUCAGGAAAUAGGCUUAGAAGCGGCCAUUUUUUAAAGAUCUCGUAACAGAGCACUGAUCUAAUAGUUAAACUUAAAUUAAGUUUAACUAGUAAAAAGCGUCGAUGAUAUAACGGAUCUAAACAAUAUACCAAUACCUUGUAUAAAUAUACUAUAUAAACCAUAUACUAUAUUUAUAGUAGCAGAACGUAGAGUAUGUAAAAUAAUUUUAUUAGUCAAUAAAAUUAAUAUAUCUCUAGUGAUAAUGCUGGCAUGAGUAGCGAAAAGAAAAGAUAAAUCUUUCCACCUAAAGCUUAUGGAAUUUACUUUAUAACAGACUCUAAGUUUAUUUACCUAAAGGGUUAAACGAUGAAUAUAUAUAAAAUACAAACAGUUUUUAAUGAUUAAUAUACGCAGACGCUUUGCGUAUAUUAAUCAACAUUAGUUAUAAGAACUCUGGAAAUAAUUUUAUAAUAACUGUACCUAAAAUCUAACACAAGUAAGCUAGUAGAGAAUACGAAGGUGUUUGAGCUAACAAUUUUUAAGGAACUCGGCAAAUUGACUCCGUAACUUAGGGAGAAGGUGGGCCACUUUGCAUUAAAAUAAGUGCAAAAUAGGAGGCAUAGAAUGGUGUUGUACGACUGUUUAAUUAAAACAAAGCACUUUGCUAAAGAUGUAAAAUCGAAAUAUUGAGUGUGAUUUCUGCCCUAUAUCGGCUGGUUAACGAAUUUACUUAGUCAACUAAAAUAGGCUAAGUUUUGAAGGAACCCCCGAUCAAUGGCGGCCUUACCUAUAAGGGUCUUAAGGUAGCGGAAUACCUUGGCCGUUAAAUGCGGUCUUGCAUGAACGAUGUAACGAUACAACAGCUGUCUCAAAAAUUGGCUCAGCGAAAUUGGAAUAGCAGUGCAGAUACUGUUUACCUCUAGUUAGACGAGAAGACCCUAUGCAGCUUUACUGUUACUAAUUAUUAAAUAUAAUAAAACAAGUUUAAGAGUAAAAGGUAAUUGUUUAUAUAAUAAUGAAACACCUUUACUAUAGUUGAUUAUAUUCUCUAUUCUUCAAUAUAAAUAAUAUAUACAUUACGCAAAGCGUAUGUAAUAGUUUGAACGAAAACAGUUGUUAGUAGACGGUUUAUGCGGGGCACAGAUCCCAUAAAGAGUACCUGGGUAUAUCCAAAGUUAAUACGUAAUAUUCGUUAUUUAUAUAACAAAGUAAAUACAAUUAGUAACUAAUCGUAUUUAUUCUAUUAUUAAUUUUUAAUUUUUUUUUGAUGCUUUAAGCGUUAUAUAAAAGUAAUCCAAUUACAAUUCUAUUUAAUUAGAAUAUUUUUUUAGAUAAGUAAGAUUUUUAUUAUAAUGAAAAUAAUUAUAAAUAAUAGUUAUAAGCCUAUACUACGUGUUGGUUUAUGAUAUUGAUAUUUAUAUAAAAAGUUUAAUGGCUAAAUCUUGCUUUACUGUUUGAUAUACAAAUCUUUCAGUCGCGUAAGCGGGGCAUAUGAUCACAAGAUUCAGAAAGGAAAGGUCUUGGGUUAUUGAAUAAGCUACGCUAGGGAUAACAGGCUGAUUGCGCCAGAGAGUACAAAUUGAGUGCGCAGUUUGGCACCUCGAUGUCGGCUUAACUCAUCCACAUGAAUGCAAGAGUCAUGAAGGGUUUGACUGUUCGUCAAUUAAAGAGUUACACGAGCUGGGUUAAAUACGUCGUGAGACAGUAUGGUUUCUAUCUUCUAGAGGAAAUUAGAGUAAAAUAAGAAGAGCCCCUUCGUACGAAAGGAGUUGGGUAUGUUAAUCCCUGGUUUACCUGUUGUUUGAAUAUAUACAAAUAUUUAUGAGCCAUAGGCUAUUAAUUGUAUUACUUAAACUAAAGUAAUAAAAUUAUCUGUUAUUAUAUAGAUAAUAACUAUAUUUGGGCAUGGCAGGAAAGCUACAUUAAUUAAAAAUAAGUGUUGAAUGCAUAUAGGCACGAAGUUUAUUUUAGGAUACUCUUAAAUAUACGUAUUAUAUUA
rnacentral:rRNA from 1 species